UCCCAGGUAGCUCAAUGGCAGAGCAAGUGGCUGUUAACCACUAGGUUGUCAGUUCGAAUCUGACCCUGGGAGCCA
rnacentral:tRNA from 1 species